rnacentral:rRNA from 1 species
CCUACGGGAGGCAGCAGUGAGGAAUAUUGGACAAUGGGCGCAAGCCUGAUCCAGCCAUGCCGCGUGCAGGAAGAAGCAUCUAUGGUGUGUAAACUGCUUUUGUACAGGAAGAAACACUCCCUCGUGAGGGAGCUUGACGGUACUGUAAGAAUAAGGACCGGCUAACUCCGUGCCAGCAGCCGCGGUAAUACGGAGGGUCCGAGCGUUAUCCGGAAUCAUUGGGUUUAAAGGGUCCGUAGGCGGUUUAAUAAGUCAGUGGUGAAAUCUGGUCGCUCAACGAUCAAACGGCCAUUGAUACUGUUAGACUUGAAUUAUAAGGAAGUAACUAGAAUAUGUAGUGUAGCGGUGAAAUGCUUAGAUAUUACAUGGAAUACCAAUUGCGAAGGCAGGUUACUACUUAUGGAUUGACGCUGAUGGACGAAAGCGUGGGGAGCGAACAGGAUUAGAUACCCUGGUAGUCCACGCCGUAAAACGAUGGAUACUAGCUGUUCGGUAGACAUACUGUAGUGGUCGUAGACGAAGUAGAGUAAGUAAUACCCUACCGUACGGGAGGUACGGUUCGUCGAAGAAGAGAACGUACGAAAGUAGUAAGUUAGUACGGACGUGAGACGUAGACCGACGGACGACGACGAGGGGAGGGUUAGGGAG